ensembl:lncRNA
GCCUACUUUACAUUAUUUCAUCAUAUGGCACGUUUUUACAACAUGUUGAAAAAUCGAAAUUUUUUUCCGACAUAGUAUACUAUGGCGUUUUUGUUGCGCCAAAAUUCAUGUUGAUUUUUUUUUCAAAGAAAACCUUUCUGGAGUGUUUUCCACGGCCUACUUUACAUUAUUUCAUCAUAUGGCACGUUUUUACAACAUGUUGAAAAAUCGCAAGUUUUUUUUCGACAUAGUAUACUAUGACGUUUUUUUUUGCGCCAAAAUUCAUGAUGACUUUUUUUUCAAAGAGAACCUUACCAUAAUGUUUUUCACAGCCUCCUUUACAUUAUUUCAUCAUAUGGAAUGUUUUCACAUGUUGAAAAAUGACAUUUUUCGACAUAGUAUAAUAUGGCGUUUUUGUUUUGUUUUUUUUACGCCAAAAUUAAUGUUGAUUUUUUUUUCAAAGAAAACCUUUCUGGAGUUUUUUUCACUGCCUCCUUUACAUUAUUUCAUCAUAUGGCAUGUUUUCACAACAUGUUGAAAAAUGACAUUUUUCGACAUAGUAUACUAUGGCGUUUUUGUUGCGCCAAAAUUCAUGUUGAUUUUUUUUUUCAAAGAAAACCUUUCUGGAGUGUUUUUCACUGCCUCCUUUACAUUAUUUCAUCAUAUGGCAUGUUUUCACAACAUGUUGAAAAAUGACAUUUUUCGACAUAGUAUACUAUGGCAUUUUUUUUCACGCCAAAAUUCAUGUUGAUUUUUUUUCAAACAAAACCUUUCUGGAGUGUUUUUCACUGCCUCCUUUACAUUAUUUCAUCAUAUGGAAUGUUUUCACAUGUUGAAAAAUGACAUUUUUCGACAUAGUAUAAUAUGGCGUUUUUUUUUUUUACGCCAAAAUUAAUGUUGAUUUUUUUUUUCAAAGAAAACCUUUCUGGAGUGUUUUUCACUGCCUCCUUUACAUUAUUUCAUCAUAUGGCAUGUUUUCACAACAUGUUGAAAAAUGACAUUUUUCGACAUAGUAUACUAUGGCAUUUUUUUUCACGCCAAAAUUCAUGUUGAUUUUUUUUCAAAGAAAACCUUUCUGGAGUGUUUUUCACUGCCUCCUUUACAUUAUUUCAUCAUAUGGCACAUUUCUACAACAUGUUGAAAAAUCGCAGGUUUUUUUUCGACAUAGUAUACUAUGGCGUUUUUUUUUGUGCCAAAAUUCAUGUUGAUUUUUUUUUCAAAGAAAACCUUUCUGGAGUGUUUUCCACGGCCUACUUUACAUUAUUUCAUCAUAUGGCACGUUUUUACAUGUUGAAAAAUCGCAGGUUUUUUUUCGACAUAGUAUACUAUGACGUUUUUUUUUGCACCAAAAUUCAUGAUGACUUUUUUUCAAAGAGAACCUUACCAUAAUGUUUUUCACGGCCUCCUUUACAUUAUUUCAUCAUAUGGCAUGUUUUCACAACAUGUUGAAAAAUGACAUUUUUCGACAUAGUAUACUAUGGCGUUUCUGUUGCGCCAAAAUUCAUGAUGAUUUUUUUUCAAAGAAAACCUUUCUGGAGUGUUUUUCAUGGCCUACUUUACAUUAUUUCAUCAUAUGGCACGUUUUUACAACAUGUUGAAAAAACGAAUUUUUUUCCCCGACAUAGUAUACUCUGGCGUUUUUUGCGCCAAAAUUCAUGAUGAUUUUCUUUUUUCAAAGAAAAGCUUACCAUAAUGUUUUUCUUGCCCUCCUUUACAUUAUUUCAUCAUAUGGCACGUUUUUACAACAUGUUGAAAAAUCACAUUUUUGUUUCCACUCAGCUGCAUGCCUUCGUCCACCCGGCCUCCGCUGACUCGUCCUGCCUGCCGUCUCUGGAGCUGAAGCUGGA